UCCUUGGUGGCUCAGACGGUAAAGCAUCUGCCUAUAAUGCGGGAGACCCAGGUUCAAUCCCUGGGUUGGGAA
rnacentral:tRNA from 1 species